UUCCCCGAAAACUCCACCCCCCCUCGCCUCGUUCCGCCUCGCCCAUCUCGUCUCACCGCCACCAUCUAUCGGCUCCCUCCCUCCUUUCUCGCCCCCCUUCCAAACUCUAAUUGAGCGCGAAACGGUGGACGCGUUUGAAUUGGCGCGCUGUCCCGGACCUUCUGGAACCUUCUCGAGGCUUCCCGCGGCCUCGCGGCAUCUCGCUCCUAGGGUUUUAUCCCCUUCCCCCCCUUGGUCGGCGCGGGAGGGGCGGGGGUGGUGUGUGCUAUGGGGGACGCCGCGGCGGCGUCGCCCCCGGCGGCCCUGGGGAAGCGGCGGCGCGGGGACGGCGAGGGGCUGCGGCGCGUGGCGGAGAUCGUGAUGGUGCUCGCCGCCGCCGGCGAGGUGCGGGGCGGGAGGGAGCCGACGGCCGCGGAGCGGGCGCUCGCCGCGGAGGCGAGGCAGAGGCUGGCCGCGGUCGUCGCCGAGGGGGCGGUGCGGCCCAAGGAUCUGUUCCCCGGGGAGGCCGUGCGCGCGCUCGUCGAGGAUCUCGGGCUCAACAGGGCCAGGGAUCCCGCCGCCAUGGGGUUCCGCCCACCCAAGGCUUCCAUUGCCGACAGGCUGAUGCUUACUAAGCGCAAGAUGGAAGAAGUCAAGGAAGCUCCAGUACAGCCAACGAUGAGUACAGCUCAAACAAUUAUCUCAAGUGGCACAACUGACUUCCAAGGUCUGCAUGGAGCUCCCAAAUUUGCUGUUGGAGCUCCUAGGAAUCCACCAGCUAUUGCGGCAUUGCCUGCUACUGCUCCAGUGACUUCUGCUUCCCUCGUUACCUUGAAACCACCUGGAUCCUCUCCUGUGAAAUCAGUAAACAACCCUUCAGUUGUUUCAAUGCCCUAUACGGCUCCAUCACAUCUUAAAUCAGAUAAAGGAGUUAAUGCUCCUCCUAAUCUAGUACGCACUGGAGCAACCUUUGGCCACUUGAACAAAUCAUUUCAUGAUACAUCUGCUAGGUCCAAUCUUAACGCUGUGCAGAGUUCCACUCAGGUGGUGAAAAAUCAGGACAUAAAGACAGUAUCAGUUGAUGCUACAGCAGGAAACCCUCUUCCAGGUCAUCAUGCUACACCAAGUGUGUUACCUGUUCCUUCAAAACCUACUUUUGCUAACCACAAUGAAAUAGCGAAGAAUGUUCAGCGUGUUUUGCAUCAACCAGCUAAUCAUCCUAGCUGGAUUCCACCAUCAACUGAGUAUAUGUGUUCUCAUUUAGAUUGUCAAAUAUGCAAAGUUGCUAUCAUGGAUAUGGAAAGUUUGCUUGUUUGUGAUGCUUGCGAGAAAGGGGCACACUUGAAAUGCCUUCAGCAUUAUGGUAAUAAAGGUGUUCCUAAAGCCGAGUGGCAUUGUCCAACAUGCCUGACAAAGAGUAAGGGCAGGCCUCUGCCAGCGAAAUAUGGCAAGGUUACAAGAACUGCCGUGGAACCAAAGGCGGCUCCCCCACCUGCUGGAACACAGAUCUCUUCGCAAGGAGCAGCAGAAAAUAUUAUUGUGAAGGAAAAUCACCAAAAAGUGGCUGUAAAUGGUAAUAUUCUGAAUCAAAACUCCACGCAAGCUGUCAGUGCUGUACACAGCAGUACUGUUUUGGCUCUAGGUGUUACAGCUGCUGGUGCACAACAACAGCCGCUUGCUACAUCUAGACCUCCAGAAGGAAAUUUACAGAAUGACGCAACCUUAUCUAGUGAAAAGGCAGUGAAUGUGGAGCCUUGCAGUAGCAUUGCACAUCAUAAUGAAAAACCCCCUGAUGAACUACAGAGCAGAGGACUGCCUGCGAACAGUACGACUGGAACUCAAUUAGGAAAAUCUCCUAAUGAGGAGGUUUCGAGUGUAUUAGCGUCAGGUAUUGUGGAUUCAACAAAUGAUAACUUGCAUGAGCAGAAAUCUCAUGAAAUUUCUAGGGAAAAAUGUCCAGACAACUCUUCUAUUGUUGCUUCUGAAGCAAAUAUCAAGUUAAAAGCAGACUGUGAGCUCAUCUUGGGAGAUGUGGAAAUGGUUAAUAAUGAUAUACCAAUGGAUCAAACCAACAGUGUUGACACUGAAGAUAAGCCUAGUACUCAAGAAAUCACUGAAGCACAUACAAUGAAAGCUGUGGAGGUGAGCAUCAAUACUGGAAUACAAAUGAACCAGGGUGACAGUGUUGCCACCGAAGAGAAUCUCCACAAGGAAGCAACCUCUGAUCCACAUGUAAUCAGUGAUGUGGCAACCACUACUAAUGCUGGAACACCAAUAUGUCCAAGCAACAACAUUGCCAUUGAAGAAAAGUCCCAGUUUGAUGUAGUUUCCGAGAUACAUACAUCCAAAGAUACAAAAAUGAGCAUUAACACUGCCACUUCAAUAGAUCAAAACAUCAAUAUUGCCACAGAAGAAAACCCAUUGCCUGAAUCAAUUUCUGUAACUGAGGAUGCUGACAUAUGCACUGAUUCUGGAAUACCAACAAAUCAAACAGGUGAAACUAAUGGAUUGGAUGAAAAUGGCAGAAAGGAACAUCCCACCGGAGAAAUAGAUGAAUGCAAAUCUGACAAUAGUGCAAUGCCAGAUAUGGUUAGCACCCUACCGAUAACAUCAAAUGGAGCGAUGCAUUCAAAGGAUGAAGCUGUAUGUGGCCAUCAAGGUGAAAUUGUGCACUGCAGCGCAGCUGCAAGACAGGAAGACAAUUAGAUUCCGUUGCUUCUAAUUCCAUUUUCAGAUGCGAUCAUGAUGAAUCCACCUGUAGUUCGGUUAGUGCCUAGAAUAGCUUCAGUGAUUAACCAUGCUGUCAACAUUCUUUUGGACCAGUCAUUGUAAGUUCAUCAUGUGCUGCUGGCCAUUUCCCAUGAGUGUCUACUUGGAGUUGCUGGAAUCAGUGUACGCACAUGAGGGUUGGCCCCAUUGAUGUUGUUACUUUACAAUAGUUCCUUCGGCUAUCACUCCUAGCUCUGUAGUUUCUCUGUCCUGUCUGCUCCUCUGUGCUCAUCUUAUAAAGGCUGUAAUUACAUAGGAUUUGGUUGAGUGAUUGAUAGGUUAUUAUGUUGUAAUGAUAAUCUUUACCGUUCACCAUCGGGGCCAGUGCAAGGUGCACCGGUGUUCUCGAUUGUCUGAAAAUACCUGCGAAUCUUUUAGCUUGUCUUUUCAGUGUUCCAGUU